UACAGAGGGUGCAAGCGUUAAUCGGAGUUACUGGGCGUAAAGGGCGCGUAGGUGGUUGUUUAAGUGAGAUGUGAAAUCCCGUGGGCUUAACCUAGGAACUGCAUCUUAUACUGGGCAACUGGAGUACUGUAGAGGGUAGUGGAAUUUCCGGUGUAGCGGUGAAAUGCGUAGAGAAUCGGAAGGAACACCAGUGGCGAAGGCGGCUACCUGGACAGAUACUGACACUGAGGCGCGAGAGCGUGGGGAGCAAACAGG
rnacentral:rRNA from 1 species